AGUGAACGCUGGCGGUAGGCCUAACACAUGCAAGUCGAACGGCAGCACAGUAAGAGCUUGCUCUUACGGGUGGCGAGUGGCGGACGGGUGAGGAAUACAUCGGAAUCUACUUUUUCGUGGGGGAUAACGUAGGGAAACUUACGCUAAUACCGCAUACGACCUACGGGUGAAAGCAGGGGAUCUUCGGACCUUGCGCGAUUGAAUGAGCCGAUGUCGGAUUAGCUGGUUGGCGGGGUAAAGGCCCACCAAGGCGACGAUCUGUAGCUGGUCUGAGAGGAUGAUCAGCCACACUGGAACUGAGACACGGUCCAGACUCCUACGGGAGGCAGCAGUGGGGAAUAUUGGACAAUGGGCGCAAGCCUGAUCCAGCCAUACCGCGUGGGUGAAGAAGGCCUUCGGGUUGUAAAGCCCUUUUGUUGGGAAAGAAAAGCAGCAGGUUAAUACCCCGCUGUUCUGACGGUACCCAAAGAAUAAGCACCGGCUAACUUCGUG
rnacentral:rRNA from 1 species